GCAUUGGUGCUUCAAUGGUAGAAUUCUUGCCUUCCAUGCGAGAGGCCUGAGCUCUAUUCCCAACCAAUACA
rnacentral:tRNA from 1 species